CUGCAGAAUCUAAGUCGACCAUGUAUUUGCAAUUGGUUGUCUAUAUCUAUUCUAUUACCUGGAUAAUUUUUCAGUGGAUGGAUAGUAUGCAAAUGAGUUGUCUUUACGAUUUGCACAGCAGUGUGAAACCUUGUUAUGUAUGGAUACAGCUCUUUACAUGACUGUAUUUACUUUCUGAAGAUGUAUGGCACCACAAGUUGUUGUUGUGAACUGAGAAACAUGUAUCCUUUAUCCAUGAACACUAUUCACUACCAAGUUGUAUACAAAUAAAUGAUGGUCAGAAUUUGGCUUAAUAUCUUUCUUUUCUAUGUAAU